UGAUUCUUCGGAUGAAGGUUUUUGUGACUGAGUGGCGGACGGGUGAGUAACGCGUGGGUAACCUGCCUCAUACAGGGGGAUAACAGUUAGAAAUGACUGCUAAUACCGCAUAAGACCACGGAGCCGCAUGGCUCAGUGGGAAAAACUCCGGUGGUAUGAGAUGGACCCGCGUCUGAUUAGGUAGUUGGUGGGGUAACGGCCUACCAAGCCAACGAUCAGUAGCCGACCUGAGAGGGUGACCGGCCACAUUGGGACUGAGACACGGCCCAAACUCCUACGGGAGGCAGCAGUGGGGAAUAUUGCACAAUGGGGGAAACCCUGAUGCAGCGACGCCGCGUGAGCGAAGAAGUAUUUCGGUAUGUAAAGCUCUAUCAGCAGGGAAGAAAAUGACGGUACCUGACUAAGAAGCACCGGCUAAAUACGUGCCAGCAGCCGCGGUAAUACGUAUGGUGCAAGCGUUAUCCGGAUUUACUGGGUGUAAAGGGAGCGUAGACGGCUGUGUAAGUCUGAAGUGAAAGCCCGGGGCUCAACCCCGGGACUGCUUUGGAAACUAUGCAGCUAGAGUGUCGGAGAGGUAAGUGGAAUUCCCAGUGUAGCGGUGAAAUGCGUAGAUAUUGGGAGGAACACCAGUGGCGAAGGCGGCUUACUGGACGAUGACUGACGUUGAGGCUCGAAAGCGUGGGG
rnacentral:rRNA from 1 species